rnacentral:tRNA from 1 species
CCUGGUGGCUCAGUGGUAAAGAAUCUGCCUGCUGUGCAGAAGACCUGGGUUCAAUCCCUGGGUCAGGA